rfam:Camelus ferus unplaced genomic scaffold scaffold757, whole genome shotgun sequence.
GAGGGUAUAGCUCAGGAGUAGAGCACAUGCUUACCAUGCAUGAGGUCCUGGGUUCAAUCCCUAGUACUUCCA